GGAUUAGGCAUGCAAGUCGAACGAGGAAGUGCCCCGUAAGGGGCGCAAGCCUAGUGGCGAAAGGGUGAGUAAUGCAUUGAUAACCUGCCUUUGAGAUGGGAAUAACUGCGUUUCGAGCAAUCGGAACUACCGAAAGGGCUGCUAAUACCCAAUAAUACUAUAGGUGCAAAAGCACUUGUGGUCAAAUGCUAGGAAUUCUGUUCCUUGUGCUUAAAGAGGGGUUAAUGUCCUAUCAGCUAGUUGGUGGGGUAAUGGCCUACCAAGGCAAAGACGGGUAGCCGGCUUGAGAGGGUGGUCGGCCACACUGGGACUGAGACACUGCCCAGACUCCUACGGGAGGCUGCAGUCGGGAAUCUUUCGCAAUGCCCGAAAGGGUGACGAAGCGACGCCGCGUGUGGGAAGAAGGCCUUCGGGUUGUAAACCACUGUCGGGAGUUAGGAAAUGCAGGUGCGUUAAUAGCGCACUUGCUUGACUAAGGCUCCAGAGGAAGCCACGGCUAACUCUGUGCCAGCAGCCGCGGUAAUACAGAGGCGGCAAGCGUUGUUCGGAAUUAUUGGGCGUAAAGAGCACGUAGGCGGCCUUGCAAGUCAGUUGUGAAAGCCUUCCGCUUAACGGAAGAACGGCAUCUGAUACUACAGGGCUUGAGUACGGGAGGGGAGAGUGGAACUUCUGGUGGAGCGGUGAAAUGCGUAGAUAUCAGAAGGAACGCCGGCGGCGAAAGCGACUCUCUGGUCCGAAACUGACGCUGAGUGUGCGAAAGCUAGGGGAGCAAACGGGAUUAGAUACCCCGGUAGUCCUAGCCGUAAACGAUGGGCACUAAGUAGAGGGGUUUU
rnacentral:rRNA from 1 species